GACCCAGUGGUGAAACGAAUCACACCUGCCUUGCAUAAACAUGCUGGCAGAACAUGUUGGCAGGAACUCCCGGUUCGAGUCCGGGCUGGGUCA